GGAUAACAUGCCCUAGAGUGGAGGAUAAUCUCGGGAAAUUGAGGAUAAUACUCCAUAAAUCACAGGAUCUGGAACGACCUGUGGUUGAAAGUUCCGGCGCUCUAGGAUUGGUCUGCGGCCUAUCAGGUAGUAGUGGGUGUAAUGGACCCACUAGCCUAUGACGGGUAUGGGCCUUGAGAGAGGGAGCCCAGAGAUGGAUUCUGAGACACGAAUCCAGGCCCUACGGGGCGCAGCAGUCGCGAAAACUUCACAAUGGAGGCAACUCCGAUGAGGGAAUUCCUAGUGCUAACACAUUAGUGUUAGCUUUUCUUUAGCGUAGAUAACUAGAGGAAUAAGGGCUGGGUAAGACGGGUGCCAGCCGCCGCGGUAAUACCCGCAGCCCAAGUGGUGGUCGAUUUUAUUGAGUCUAAAACGUUCGUAGCCGGUUCGAUAAAUCCUUGGGUAAAUCGGAAAGCUUAACUUUCCGACUUCCGAGGAGACUGUUGAACUUGGGACCGGGAGAGGCAAGAGGUACUUGAGGGGUAGGGGUAAAAUCCUGUAAUCCUUUAAGGACCACCGGUGGCGAAGGCGUCUUGCUAGAACGGAUCCGACGGUGAGGGACGAAGCCCUGGGUCGCAAACGGGAUUAGAUACCCCGGUAGUCCAGGGUGUAAACGCUGCAGACUUGGUGUUGGGGACCCUUUGGGGGUGCUCAGUGCCGGAGAGAAGUUGUUAAGUCUGCUACUUGGGGAGUACGUCCGCAAGGAUGAAACUUAAAGGAAUUGGCGGGGGAGCACCGCAACGGGAGGAACGUGCGGUUUAAUUGGAUUCAACACCGGAAAACUCACCAGCAGCGACUGUUACAUGAAAGUCAGGCCGAUGACCUUACUAGAUUUUCA
rnacentral:rRNA from 1 species